rnacentral:rRNA from 1 species
UGGGGAAUAUUGCACAAUGGGCGCAAGCCUGAUGCAGCCAUGCCGCGUGUAUGAAGAAGGCCUUCGGGUUGUAAAGUACUUUCAGCGGGGAGGAAGGGAGUAAAGUUAAUACCUUUGCUCAUUGACGUUACCCGCAGAAGAAGCACCGGCUAACUCCGUGCCAGCAGCCGCGGUAACACGGAGGGUGCAAGCGUUAAUCGGAAUUACUGGGCGUAAAGCGCACGCAGGCGGUUUGUUAAGUCAGAUGUGAAAUCCCCGGGCUCAACCUGGGAACUGCAUCUGAUACUGGCAAGCUUGAGUCUCGUAGAGGGGGGUAGAAUUCCAGGUGUAGCGGUGAAAUGCGUAGAGAUCUGGAGGAAUACCGGUGGCGAAGGCGGCCCCCUGGACGAAGACUGACGCUUAGGUGCGAAAGCGUGGGGAGCAAACAGG